rnacentral:rRNA from 1 species
GACGAACGCUGGCGGCGUGCCUAAUACAUGCAAGUCGAGCGAAUCACUAGGAGCUUGCUCCUGGUGGUUAGCGGCGGACGGGUGAGUAACACGUGGGCAACCUGCCUGUAAGACUGGGAUAACACCGGGAAACCGGUGCUAAUACCGGAUAAUCCUUUUCCUCUCAUGAGGAAAAGCUGAAAGUCGGUUUCGGCUGACACUUACAGAUGGGCCCGCGGCGCAUUAGCUAGUUAGGGAGGUAACGGCUCACCAAGGCGACGAUGCGUAGCCGACCUGAGAGGGUGAUCGGCCACACUGGGACUGAGACACGGCCCAGACUCCUACGGGAGGCAGCAGUAGGGAAUCUUCCACAAUGGACGAAAGUCUGAUGGAGCAACGCCGCGUGAGCGAUGAAGGCCUUCGGGUCGUAAAGCUCUGUUGUUAGGGAAGAACAAGUACCGGAGUAACUGCCGGUACCUUGACGGUACCUAACCAGAAAGCCACGGCUAACUACGUGCCAGCAGCCGCCGUAAAAC